rnacentral:rRNA from 1 species
UACGUAGGCAGCAAGCGUUGUUCGGAAUUACUGGGCGUAAAGAGUGCGUAGGCGGUUCCGCAAGUUUGUCGUGAAAUCUCCCGGCUUAACUGGGAGGGUGCGGCGAAAACUGCGGGGCUGGAGUGUGGGAGAGGUAAGCGGAAUUCCUGGUGUAGCGGUGAAAUGCGUAGAUAUCAGGAGGAACACCAAUGGCGAAGGCAGAUCUCUGGGCCGUAACUGACGCUGAGGAGCGAAAGCAUGGGGAGCGAACAGG